rnacentral:rRNA from 1 species
AACGAACGCUGGCGGCAGGCUUAACACAUGCAAGUCGAACGCCCCGCAAGGGGAGUGGCAGACGGGUGAGUAACGCGUGGGAAUCUACCCAGUUCUACGGAAUAACCCAGGGAAACUUGGACUAAUACCGUAUACGCCCUACGGGGGAAAGAUUUAUCGGAAUUGGAUGAGCCCGCGUUGGAUUAGCUGGUUGGUGGGGUAAUGGCCUACCAAGGCGACGAACCAUAGCUGGUCGGAGAGGACCAACAGCCACACUGGGACUGAGACACGGCCCAGCCUCCUCCGGGAGGCAGCAGUGGGGCAUAUUGGGCAAGGAGCUCAAUUUAGCGGCAGACAUGUCGAGCGAGUGAUGGAGGCUUUAGGGUUGUAAAGCGUCCUCAGUAGGCACGAUGAUGAUAGUACCGCGAGAAGUAGCACUUUAGAACUUCGUGCCAUGACCCGCAGUAGUUA